rnacentral:rRNA from 1 species
GCCGCGGUAAUUCCAGCUCCAAUAGCGUAUAUUAACGUUGUUGCAGUUAAAAAGCUCGUAGUUGAAGUGUGGGUGAUCGCUGUUGUGAGACUUCGGUCUCUCGACAGUAAGUCACCCCCUUCCAGUAUCCAGUAGUGGGUAUUCACUUACUUACUAUUGUGUGUUGGUCGUUUACUGUGAGAAAAUUAGAGUGUUCAAAGCAGGCGUUUGCUUGAAUAGAUUAGCAUGGAAUAAUAAUUGAAGGCUUUCGUGUUCGAUUUGAUUGGUUUGUUCAUGGAAGCAAGGUUAAAAGGAACAGUUGGGGGUAUUCAUAUUCACUAGUUAGAGGUGAAAUUCUCGGAUUUAUGGAAGAUGAACAAGUGCGAAAGCAUUUACCAAGGAUGUUGUCAUUAAUCAAGAGCGAAAG